CUGGGCGUAAGCGUGCGCAGGCGGUUUUGUAAGACAGGCGUGAAAUCCCCGGGCUUAACCUGGGAACUGCGUUUGUGACUGCAAGGCUAGAGUACGGCAGAGGGGGGUGGAAUUCCACGUGUAGCAGUGAAAUGCGUAGAGAUGUGGAGGAACACCAAUGGCGAAGGCAGCCCCCUGGGUCGAUACUGACGCUCAUGCACGAAAGCGUGGGUAGCAAACAGGAUUAGAUACCCUGGUAGUCCACGCCCUAAACGAUGUCAACUAGGUGUUGGGAGGGUAAAACCUUUUAGUGCNUAGCUAA
rnacentral:rRNA from 1 species